GGAAAAGAUUCAGGAUAAGAAGGAGCUGGACACCAACAAGAUACAAGUGGUUUAAAAAUAAAUAAAGCUGGGCACCCAUCUGACACCAAGACGAUCUGUGAAAAGGAAAUGGAACUAUUCACUUCACAGGACAGCUGCUGAUGUCCUAGGAUUGGAAGGUGAUACACAGAACGGAGGCUAGCACAUUCUUUAGCCUAUCUGGUUAUUAUAUCCAUUCGCUUAUGUGGGAAGGACAAAGAUUUUUAUCUCAAAUUGGAGACAGCAAACAAACUGAGAGAUAGAAAGGGAAUUCCCGGGCUCAUGCGCCUCCGGGCUCCUGAUUUGCACCCCAUCUGCAGGAAUGGUCAUCCUCCCCUAAUCGCAAGGAGCCAGGACUUCAUGAUGCCAGAUUAACUCCGCUUCACACAUGAAUUUUGACGUGAGGAUUGUGGAAGGUGUCCAACGCAGUGCGGCAAUGAAAAACGGUUCUGCUGCUGGAGAAAUUCAGCUUACAAACCUCAUAAGCAACCUUGGGAAAAGCUCACCUUACAUGCACAACUUUUAGCACCAUGAAUAGAAGCUGACUUUUGAAGGAAGAUAGGCACUUGGUCUUUGGGUGACGAGAAGAUUGGAGUCUGUAAAUUCUCAUAUUGAGAGACAUUUCAGUACCAUGUUGGUUAUUCUACUUUCUCCAAAAGCAUUUUUUUAAACCUUGUGGUCUUCUCCUACUUUCAGAUCUGCUUCAUAAAUAUUGUUGAGAACCUAUUUCAUUCUAAAUACUAUUCUAGAGUCUGGGAGCGUAGCAGGAUUCGAAACAUAUGGAAAUCUAUGGUCUUACCUUCUAACGGAAGGUGCAAGAACCCCCUUUCUUAAAAAAACUACAAAUAAGUUCUUAAUUGAGAAUAUGAUUAAGUUUUUUAAAAAAUGCCAAGAAUAUGUGUUCAAAGUAACAUUACUCAUAAUAGGCCAAAGGAAGAAGAAAUCUAAGUUUCUUCUUAGAAACUAAACAUAAAAUGUGAUUUAUACAUUCAGUGAAAUAUUACUCAGCCUUAAAAAAGGAAAGAACUUCUAACAUAUGCUACAACAAGGAUGAAACUAGAGGAUAUUAUGCUAAAUGAAAUAAAGUCACACCAACACAAUCACACAAGCAUUGUGUAAUUCUACUUAGAGUAGAUAAACUCAUAGGGACAGAAGGUAGAAUAGUAGUUACCAGGGGCAAAGGGAGGGACAAAAAUAAAAUAUAAAUUUUAAUGGAUAUAGCAGUUCAGUUUUGCAAGAUGAAGAGUUCUAGAAAUCUGCUGCACAAUAAAGUGAAUAUACUUAACAGUAUAAAACUGGGCCCUUAGAAAUGGUUAAGGCGAAUUUUAUCAGUUGUACUAUAAUUUUUUAAAAUGUUAGGGAGAAAAGUCAAGAUAAGUGUAUGCAAGUAUAUCCAGGAUCUAUGGAGGGAAAAGCCAUCUUAUGUAAUAUGCUUCUGUCAGUAUGACCAGCUCUCUGCUCUCUACCGGGCACCCUGCCCCACAUCCCGCUCAGGAAAGCUUGCUGACUGGGAUACAAGGCCCAGCAGUUCAUGUGCACCAUAGCGCCUUCAAAUGCCCACUCCUAAGGGUACAAACUAUGGCCAGUCUGUCCACGAUGCUGUUAAGCAGCUCAGCUUCACUCAGAGCCUGAAGUCUGUGGCUGAAGAUUGAGCCUGAAUGUGGAACUCUGAGAAUCUUGAAUUCUGCAUCAAUGUAGAGUUAUGGGUGCUCUUUGAGGUCAUCCUCCAGUUCACAGAGCUAUCAGGAGAAAUCCUGACACCAAACCAGCUGGCACACCCAGAAAUAUGCACGGGCUGACAUCUGCAGGCCACAAGGGUCGGGGCCUUGAAGGGGAUGUUCCACUGCACUAUUGGUGAUUCUCCCCUGAGCUUGGAGGAGGAGCUACGCUCUCCAGUUCUAUUGUUACCAGGAAUUUAAGUAAUGUCUGUAAAAUUCACACCUAAUAAACAAUUUAGGGUAGUAAAAAAAAAAAAAAAGAAAAAAGAAGGAAGAAGGAACAAAAACUAUUGGCAUUUAUCUGUGAGACAUGCCCGGAAAUGUACA